AGCAGCCGCGGUAAUUCCAGCUCCAAUAGCGUAUAUUAAAGUUGUUGCAGUUAAAAAGCUCGUAGUUGAAUUUCGGGAUCAAUUAAUCGGUCGUGCCUCUGGUACGCACUGGUUUUAUUGGUUUCUCCCUUCUGACGAACCAGGAUGUCAUUAAUUUGGUGUCUUGGAGAAUCAGGACUGUUACUUUGAAAAAAUUAGAGUGUUUAAAGCAGGCUAACGCUUGAAUACAUUAGCAUGGAAUAAUGAAAUAGGACGUUUGAUCCUAUUUUGUUGGUUUCUAGGAUCGACGUAAUGAUUAAUAGGGAUAGUUGGGGGCAUUAGUAUUCAAUUGUCAGAGGUGAAAUUCUUGGAUUUAUUGAAGACUAACUAUUGCGAAAGCAUUUGCCAAGGAUGUUUUCAUUAAUCAAGAACGAAAGUUAGGGGAUCGAAGACGAUCAGAUACCGUCGUAGUCUUAACCAUAAACUAUGCCGACUAGGGAUCGGAUGAUGUUAAUUUUUAAUGACUCAUUCGGCGCCUUAC
rnacentral:rRNA from 1 species